rnacentral:rRNA from 1 species
AUUGAACGCUGGCGGCAGGCCUAACACAUACAAGUCGAGCGGGGUUUUCGGACCUAGCGGCGGACGGGUGAGUAAUGCGUAGGAAGCUACCCGAUAGUGGGGGAUACCAGUUGGAAACGACUGUUAAUACCGCAUAAUGUCUACGGACCAAAGUGUGGGACCUUCGGGCCACAUGCUAUCGGAUGUGCCUACGUGGGAUUAGCUAGUUGGUGAGGUAAUGGCUCACCAAGGCGACGAUCCCUAGCUGGUUUGAGAGGAUGAUCAGCCACACUGGAACUGAGACACGGUCCAGACUCCUACGGGAGGCAGCAGUGGGGAAUAUUGGACAAUGGGCGCAAGCCUGAUCCAGCCAUGCCGCGUGUGUGAAGAAGGCCUUCGGGUUGUAAAGCACUUUCAGUAAGGAGGAAGCGUUGAGUGUUAAUAGUACUCAGCGUUGACGUUACUUACAGAAGAAGCACCGGCUAACUCUGUGCCAGCCGCCGCAGUAAUAC